UCAUCCGUCAUCAUCAUCGUUAUCAUCAUCAGUGCAACAGCCCCCCGCAGGGCGCUUAGUUUAUUUGCAUUACGUCUCGCGUUUGUUCUCUGUCACAUCAGCCGUGUGUCACACGCUUCUUCGGUAAACUGGAGCUUUGCCUGUCUUGUUCUCAGCCGACGACUGAUUUGCAUUAGCAAAGUCAAACAGGCUUAAUAGACUUUUAUUGGCAUGAGGCGGCCGGGCGCUGAGGGGGGCUUUUAAACAAUGCAGUAUGCUAAUAAACACAACUAUGCGUACGAGGACAUCAACUGGCACAUCAGCACCGAACGCAAUCCCACACACACCCAAGGACCUGAUCCACGAGCCUGCAUUAAUGCAUAAAAUUGCUUUUUACUUUUGAAAUGUUGUUUUUGAGAAAUAUUAAAGACACUUUAAUGUUGUCUUGCUAUAGGCAUCAAGACAGAGAGAGAGAGA